GAAGGCGGGCGCACUCACGAUCAUCACCCGAUACACAGUUCACAACCUGCGGCAACAUUUUUAUGAAAUUUCUGUUCGCGAGCCGAUUUGGUCGUGAACUGAGGCGUUCGUGAGCUGAGGUACCACUAUACUCAGAUUGAGAUUGCAGGAAAGCUAAAUGCAUUCAUUUCCUCCGUAUUCACAGCUGAGGAUAUAGAAGAGAUAAAUAUUCCUGAACAGAGGCUUUCAGGAAGGAAGUCUGAGGAAUUAAGACAAACAGCAGUGACAAAAGAUGAAAUUUUAGCUUUCAAUUUGUCAGUAAGGUAA